UGGAUGUUUUUAGACAAAUGUUGAAGCUCACGGAGGAGCAGUAACAUUGCAAUAACAGAAACUGAGUUUCAGUUGAGUUGAAAAAGCAAUUACCUGGUACUACAUAAUAAAGUGGGGACAAGGAAACAUUUUAUGAUGUUAUGAUUCCUCUUCCUCACAGCUUUUUUGAGGUGGGGUGGGGGUUACUAUGACUUUUGCAUUUAACCAUGAGGCUACCAAUGGCCACCUCAGCUCUGCUGCACUCCUCCCCUCCCAAAACAGCCUCUGGACAGUAAUGUUUGUCUUAAGUCUAGCUUCCUCAGACAUUUAUUCGGGAGCUUUCCUGGAGGCUUAGCACAAAGGCAGACCCGAGGAAGAACCAUCGAGGCACAGCCAGCAUCUCACCACCAGGCCAGGGAUGCCGCUGGGAUGACGGAGCCGACAGGGUCCCCUGCCCCGCAUCCUCCACCCUGCCGAAGUCGAGGUUAAAACCCUGAAAUCCGAAGCCCUGAAACCGAGCUGCUUGGCCCCGCCGGUGGCACGGCCUCGCCACACACGCCCGUGUCCGCUCGGUGGCCCGGGCGCCGUCGGGAUGGGAAGAGAGGCGAGGGGGUGGGGAGGGCGUGGGGGUGCGACAGAACGCGAACAGGGAGCAGCUGCCUGGAGUGACCGUGACCCGUGGGUUUUGUGUGAUGACCGCGGAGCUGGAGGGGAGGGGUGAAGGAGCAGGGGAGAGGGGGUUUCUCACGAGCAGGAAAAGGUAGGAAUCCGUGUGCUUGCGUGAGGGAGAAAGGGGGAACCGCUGAGGUUUUAUUCUUGAGAGAAGCAAUUAAACACAAAUUAUUUGCAUUCACGCGACGGGAAGAUAGUCCCAUCUCUCUGUCCCUUCUCCUUGGGGUGGCCGACGGGGCAGCCCGUGGGCCUGGGUCUGUGCCCGGGCCCCUCCUCAGAGCAUCACCGGGCGGCGGGUGAGGCUCUCCCGCAUCCCCCUCCGCACCCGCGCACCCUCGGCGCUCCCCCGCCCUGCCCGGCCUCGCCUCGCCGCCACGUCCGGGGCAGUGAGUGAGAGAAACUCAAGUUAAAGAAGGGGUUGAACAGGAGCUGCUCCCCGGCCCGGCUCCGAGUCCGCGGUGAGCCCCCGGGGUUCGGGAGGAGCGGGACGGGGCCAGGAGCGCUCCGUGCGGCCGGUGGGUGCCGGCGACCGAACAAGUCCAGUCUUCCCAGGCUGCAUUUUAAUCCUGAAAUCUGGAAAUGGAAAUUGUUUGAUGUAUGAGGAGACGUUAUCUAAUUAGGGCGUAAGAAAUUUAAUCUUUCCAGCAGGCAGGUCAUAUAAUUAAUGUUAAUUUAACGCUCAAAUUCUCAGUCAUUAAUUUUUAUUCUCUUAAAUGUAGUUUGGCAGGGCCCCCUGAUCCAUGGCAAUGGAUUUUACUGAAUGUAAGAGCACACUUGGUCUUUGGAGUGAAUUACUGCAGCCCUUCCUAUCCCAAUAACAAGAUCACAUCAUGUAUGCAUUAUUAAGCCAUGUAAUUGAAUGGUCCAUAGUUUGCAUAUCAGACUAUUAAAGUAAUGUGUUUUGCUUUUCUUCCAA